UGACAGUACUCCUACGGGGAGGCAGCAGUGGGGGAAUAUUGCACAAUGGGCGCAAGCCUGAUGCAGCCAUGCCGCGUGUGUGAAGAAGGCCUUCGGGUUGUAAAGCACUUUCAGUCGUGAGGAAGGUAGUGUAGUUAAUAGCUGCAUUAUUUGACGUUAGCGACAGAAGAAGCACCGGCUAACUCCGUGCCAGCAGCCGCGGUAAUACGGAGGGUGCGAGCGUUAAUCGGAAUUACUGGGCGUAAAGCGCAUGCAGGUGGUUUGUUUAAGUCAGAUGUGAAAGACCCGGGGCUCAACCUCGGAAUAGCAUUUGAAACUGGCAGACUAGAGUACUGUAGAGGGGGGUAGGAAUUUCAGGUGUAGCGGUGAAAUGCGUAGAGAUCUGAAGGAAUACCGGUGGCGAAGGCGGCCCCCUCGGACAGAUACUGACACUCAGAUGCGAAAGCGUGGGGAGCAAACAGGAUUAGAUACCCUGGUAG
rnacentral:rRNA from 1 species